rnacentral:sRNA from 1 species
GUAUGCAGUGGAACCUGAAGGAGCUCCUACUAUGUAUGAAAGUUUUAAGGAAAGAAGGCCAGUCACUCUUUCAGAUGUCAAAUCUGUUGCUUCUGGGUUAGCUCCUCCUUAUGCAGGUACUAUCUGCUACAAGCAUUGUCGUUGGUUUGUGGAAGACAUACUGCUAGUAUCUGAUGAAGAGAUCUUACAGACCAUGAGG